GAUGAACGCUGGCGGCGUGCCUAAUACAUGCAAGUCGAGCGAACGGACGAGAAGCUUGCUUCUCUGAUGUUAGCGGCGGGCGGGUGAGUAACACGUGGAUAACCUACCUAUAAGACUGGGAUAACUUCGGGAAACCGGAGCUAAUACCGGAUAAUAUUUUGAACCGCAUGGUUCACAAGUGAAAGACGGUCUUGCUGUCACUUAUAGAUGGAUCCGCGCUGCAUUAGCUAGUUGGUAAGGUAACGGCUUACCAAGGCAACGAUGCAUAGCCGACCUGAGAGGGUGAUCGGCCACACUGGAACUGAGACACGGUCCAGACUCCUACGGGAGGCAGCAGUAGGGAAUCUUCCGCAAAGGGCGAAAGCCUGACGGAGCAACGCCGCGUGAGUGAUGAAGGUCUUCGGAUCGUAAAACUCUGUUAUUAGGGAAGAACAUAUGUGUAAGUAACUGUGCACAUCUUGACGGUACCUAAUCAGAAAGCCACGGCUAACUACGUG
rnacentral:rRNA from 1 species